UCAGAGACUUCGAGUUGCCGGCGUGCUGGGGUCACAGAGGAGCACUAAUCUGAUGCCUGAGAAGGACAGAGCUUCUUAUUAAGGCCGGGAAAUGAUUCCAGACACACCACCCUUCAAGUGUGGGGCCUCGACUCUGACCACUGAGGAUGCAAGUAAUUAAUUUUGAUUGAGAGCCUAUCUGUAAAAAAACCAGACAAUAUGUUGAUCAGAGGGCAGGCACAGUUUAAAAAAAAUACACCAGCAGAGUUAAAUGGGAACACGAAACCGUGACAAGCAUUCACAUUUGAAGAAGGAACUUUUCCCACAAGAACUGCAACAGAGGUUAAAAAUUUGUACCCAGAGCCCUCCCAGAAGUGAAAGACGUCAAUGUUUAGAGUAUAUAGAGCUGGCUCUUCGACACCCCUGAACCCCACUUCUCCAAACUCAGGAGCAGCGUGGUGCGACGAAGUGUGCGUGAGCUCCCUCACAGUUCCUACCCCAGCAGCACAUCACGGGCUGGGCGAGAUUCACUCCGCAUGGAUCAUUCUAGUCUUUCAAUUCACAGGGGCAAAAAAAUAAACGUAAGCGCUCCGAUGCCAUCAGUUGUUGUAAACCCAGCCCUUCCCCUGCCUGGAAAGCAGCUCCACGAACACACACGGAAGGCGAGCUGAUCUGAACCACAAAGGUGCCUGCAGAUAUCUUAGAUGACAGCACAAGUUCUCUAACCAGCAUUGUCAACAGCUUCGAGAGAAAUCGCAGAUAUCGCAUGCCUUCCCUCGCUUUUGUAUUUUUUCCCUAGUUGCUUGGCUAUGACCACUGAUGGCUUAUACAAGAAGAUACAGUGUACCAUGGAGCAAAUAGGAAUCAGGCAAAAUCUACCCCCUCCACAACAUCCAUGGGGUCUGGGUCUGGCAGAGCCCCAGGAACAGGGGUUUGUAGAUUGGAUUCACAGAGGGCAUUUAUUAUGAUUCUGAAACAAACCAGAUGAACUUGAGUGUAUCCAAAAGGGAAAUUGUCCCCGAGAGAGGCUUUACUCACAACUGUAGCCAUUGUUACCCCUCAUUAAUUGUGAGGAUGGCACCAUUUUCAAGUGUUUUCAGAUCAUCUUGGCAGGCUUGCAUCUGGAUAGGUCUGGGGAAUUUAUGCUCAACGAACAGGUUGCAUUUGGAGAUGAAAAAACUUUGACAGACGGCUCAAGUCCACACAGCACCUGCAGGAAGCAGCUAUUUUUCUCCUUGCUGACCCUGUGUUCUCACAGCAUUCCUAGGCACGCCAAGUGCUCCUGGAGGUCUCCUGUCCAUGGCCAACAGGACCACAUAUGCAGGUUUCAUUGAAUAAGUGCAAGGAGAAGCGUCAUGUGUGGUGUAACAAGGACGAAGAUAAGUGAAAAUACAGAAGCUUAAUUCCUGCCAAAAGCUUUCAGCAUCUCACAGUGUCAGGAUUAAGAAAACAGACACUGCAGCCAGAAUGCCUGUGGUUGAUCCUGCUCGUGUGACCUGGGCAAGUCACUUCACCUCAUUUGCCUCAAUUUCUCCAUCUGCAAAAUGGGCCUAAU
rnacentral:lncRNA from 1 species